rnacentral:lncRNA from 1 species
CUGUAAGUAAGUGCCAGGCACAUUGGUAAGGUCAGAGGUGUGCAAAUGAUUACAUCAUUUCUUAUUACUAGCAUCCUAGGAUAGAGAGAGGUCUGUGCUCAGGCAGUGGACAUGGAUUCUAACUGUUACUAUGCUGCUUGAUAUCACAGAACCCUGGGCCACUGAAUUCAUCCUCAGGUUCUUAGGUUCCUUAUCUGUUACAUUAGAAGGUCAGGCUAAAUCAGGAGUGGCAAGCAAUUAGCAUGGCCCCCAUUCUCCAAACUCACACUCUUGGUAGAUAUUUCUAACGCAUCACGGCUCUCUUUCUGCUGAGAUGAGAUCUACCAAUUGGAGUUGGCACCCUAGAAGAAAGGUAUUUGUCAUUACAGAUCACAGAGUACUUGGAGAGGCAUAAUAGACUAUUAGAAAGAGCAUAGGCCUUGGAGACAGGCAAACCUGGAUUAAAAUUUUCAGUGCCAUUUACUGAGCUGUGUAAAUUCAGACAAAUGAAUUAACCUCUCUGAGCUUCAGUUCUUUCAUCUGUAAAACAGAUACGAUUCUUCCUACCUCAGCAGUUUGAAUGUCGCCUCCAAAAUUCAGGUGUUGCAAUUUUGCUAGUAUUAACAGGUGCAUUUAAUUACACUCAGAUUAAAAAAGGUAUUAAGAAGUGGGGCCUGUAAGAGGUGAUUAGGCCAUGAGGGACACCUUCUUCUUUAAUGGGACUAAAUCCCUUAUUAAGGAGGCUUCACAAAGCAUUUGGCUAGCUUGCGCUUCUGCUUUCUGCCAUGUAAGGUCCUAUCAAGAAGGCCCUCACCAGACCAAGUGCCGGCACCUCGAUCUUGAACUUCAUAGCUUCCAGAACUAUUUGUAGCUCAGCAGUCUGGACAAAGCAUGGUCCACCUGGUUUUUUCUCCCCGGUUUUACAGGCUAAAGUGAAAAUGGUGGCCGGGCUGCACUCCUUUCUGAAGGUUCUAGGGAUGAAACGGCUUCCAAACUCUUUCAGGGCUCAUGUGGUUACGCUGGAGCUGCCCAGAUAAUCCUAGAGAUGAAUGGGUUUCUUCUUUGGAGAAAAGCCAAACCCACCUCCAAAUCCCAAGAAGACUUGUAAUUUCUAUAUAUUUAGACUCUGCUGAUUGUUUAUUUGCUUCUCCAGUCAAUUUGUAUCAGGUGCAGUUGCUGUGUUGA